rnacentral:rRNA from 1 species
UACGUAGGGUGCGAGCGUUAAUCGGAAUUACUGGGCGUAAAGCGUGCGCAGGCGGUGAUGUAAGACAGAUGUGAAAUCCCCGGGCUCAACCUGGGAACUGCAUUUGUGACUGCAUCGCUAGAGUACGGCAGAGGGGGAUGGAAUUCCGCGUGUAGCAGUGAAAUGCGUAGAUAUGCGGAGGAACACCGACGGCGAAGGCAAUCCCCUGGGCCUGUACUGACGCUCAUGCACGAAAGCGUGGGGAGCAAACAGG